UACGUAGGGGGCAAGCGUUGUCCGGAUUUAUUGGGCGUAAAGAGCGUGUAGGCGGCUAGGUAGGUCCGUUGUGAAAACUCGAGGCUCAACCUCGAGACGUCGAUGGAAACCAUCUAGCUAGAGUCCGGAAGAGGAGAGUGGAAUUCCUGGUGUAGCGGUGAAAUGCGCAGAUAUCAGGAGGAACACCGGUGGCGAAGGCGGGUCUCUGGGCCGAUAUUGACGCUGAGGAGCGAAAGCGUGGGGAGCAAACAGG
rnacentral:rRNA from 1 species